rnacentral:rRNA from 1 species
GAUGAACGCUGGCGGCGUGCUUAAUACAUGCAAGUCGAACGAUGAAGCCCGGUUCUUGGGGUGGAUUAGUGGGGAACGGGUGGGUAAGUCGCGCGUAACCUGCCUUUAACUCUGGGAUAAACCAGGGAGAGAAAGUCUAACUCAGGCCAGGUGAGCCUUUUAAAUGGAGGGUUUUGGAAUGAUAUAUCGGUUUUGGAUGGACUCGCGGCCUAUCAGCUUGUUGGUGAGGUAAUGGCACACCAAGGCGACGCCGGGUAGCCGGCCUGAGAGGGUGACCGGCCACACUGGGACUGAGGCACGGCCCAGACGGCAACGGGAGGCAGCAGUGGGAAAUAUUGCGCAAUGGGCGAACGCCUGAUGCAGCGACGUCGGGUGAGGGAUGACGGCCUUUGGGGUGUAAACCUCUUUCAGUAGGGAAGAAGAGAAAGUGACGGUACCUACAGAGGAAGCAACGGCUAACUACGUG